UACGUAGGCAGUAAGCGUUGUUCGGAGUUACUGGGCGUAAAGGGUGUGUAGGCGGUUGUUUAAGUUUGGUGUGAAAUCUCCCGGCUCAACCGGGAGGGUGCGCCGAAUACUGAAUGACUAGAGUGCGGGAGAGGAAAGUGGAAUUCCUGGUGUAGCGGUGAAAUGCGUAGAUAUCAGGAGGAACACCGGUGGUGUAGACGGCUUUCUGGACCGUAACUGACGCUGAGACACGAAAGCGUGGGUAGCAAACAGG
rnacentral:rRNA from 1 species